UACGGAGGGGGCUAGCGUUGUUCGGAAUCAUUGGGCGUAAAGGGCGCGUAGGCGGCCGAUCAAGUCGGAGGUGAAAUCCCUCGGCUCAACUGAGGAACUGCCUUCGAUACUGUUCGGCUUGAGUCCUGGAGAGGGUAGCGGAAUUCCCGGUGUAGCGGUGAAAUGCGUAGAGACCGGGAAGAACACCAGUGGCGAAGGCGACUCACUGGCCCGAUACUGACGCUGAGGCGCGAAAGCGUGGGGAGCAAACAGG
rnacentral:rRNA from 1 species